GUGGGGAAUAUUGGACAAUGGGCGCAAGCCUGAUCCAGCCAUGCCGCGUGUGUGAAGAAGGCCUUUUGGUUGUAAAGCACUUUAAGCGAGGAGGAGGCUACUUGGAUUAAUACUCUAGGAUAGUGGACGUUACUCGCAGAAUAAGCACCGGCUAACUCUGUGCCAGCAGCCGCGGUAAUACAGAGGGUGCGAGCGUUAAUCGGAUUUACUGGGCGUAAAGCGUGCGUAGGCGGCUUCUUAAGUCGGAUGUGAAAUCCCUGAGCUUAACUUAGGAAUUGCAUUCGAUACUGGGAAGCUAGAGUAUGGGAGAGGAUGGUAGAAUUCCAGGUGUAGCGGUGAAAUGCGUAGAGAUCUGGAGGAAUACCGAUGGCGAAGGCAGCCAUCUGGCCUAAUACUGACGCUGAGGUACGAAAGCAUGGGGAGCAAACAGG
rnacentral:rRNA from 1 species